CCAUGAAUCAAAUCGGCAACCAUGAAUCGCGAUUCGAAUCGAAUCGUUGUUAAAAUGAAUCGUUACACCCCUAAUAACUACAUUUCCCAUGGUGCAUCGCGAGCGAGCACGCCUCUGGGGUUUUCUGUAUAUAAUAUAUAGACGCCGCAUUGGCUUCUUGUCGCGAGAAAUACGGCCGCCAUCUUGGAGCGGUCGUGCUCGUAGUUGCGUAGCAGCAGAAGAUGCAGGAGGCCACAGCACUGUGCUGCUUAUUUCUGCGCUAAUCGGCGGACCAUCGCCAGCAGGGCUCGGGGGAUAACCUUUCACAAGUGCUGAGAGCUGCAGAGAGGGUGAUCCGCCGAGCUUCAACAACACAAGCUCCUAAGGUGUCGACAGUCACACACAUCGUCCGAGAGGAGAUUAGAACGGAUGAUGUUUUUUUGCUCGGGGAAGAGACACAGUUUGGCAUCGACAACCAUCAUUCAGACUUGUUGUCAUUGGUUGUGUCUGUGUUUCUCAAGCUAAGGCUGCACCACAUUGCCAAACUCACCACUCUGGAACUGCAAAAAGGGAGCACGAGAAAGAAGCUCUGCAAGACAGUCCUAUUCCAGGGGUUUUAGUGUGUGUGUGUGUGUGUGUGUGUGAUAGUUAGUUAGUUAGACCCUCUUUGGUGCAAACACCCGGCGUUCUGUUGAAGAUAUUUGUGUGUGCUUGCAAAUAUUCAAUUCAUUUUAUUUCUAAUUCUAUAUUGUUUUUUAACGUAUUAAAUGUCUGACUUUACUACUAC